rnacentral:rRNA from 1 species
UGUAAGCGUAUACCAAAGUUGUUGCAGUUAAAACGCUCGUAGUCGGAAUUUGGCAGUUCCGGAUGUGUGCACGUCGUGUGCGCACUUCGCGGGGAUUGCUUUUGUGGUCUUGCGUAGGAUGAGGCACUUUUAUUAGUGAACGUCCUCACGCAACCACUUUUUACUGUGAGAAAAUCAGAGUGCUCAAAGCAGGCAUUUGACGUGAAUGUAUUAGCAUGGAAUAAUAGAAUAGGACUUGGUUCUAUUUUGUUGGUUUGUUGGGACUGAGUAAUGAUUAAGAGGGACAGUUGGGGGCAUUUGUAUUUCGGUGCUAGAGGUGAAAUUCUUAGAUUACCGAAAGACAAACUGCUGCGAAAGCGUCUGCCAAGGAUGUUUUCAUUGA